CCAAUCAUAUUUAAGCUUCUUUAAACGUUUUAUUUCUAUUCAUGGAUUACGAGCAAGAGAAUGCCUGCUUUGCACUUUUUAUUUGGCUGAUAGGACUCUGAGUUGUACAAGAAAUAUACAGAGUAUUCCUUGUUCUUCUUGUUCGUCUCAUAGAAUAACCCAAACAUUGUUUCUUUUCUUUCGAUAGUUUUAAACGAGUGCUUUGCAGCUUUUGGUUCUGCAAACAAGGCGCUCUAUUGRAGUCUGAUUUUCCAGCAGCUUGUUUUAAAAGGAAUUUGAAUGCCCCUACGUCAUUCAGAGAAUCGGGAUCAUCUCGAGGGCAUCGGAACGACAUUCCAGACUCUUGUGCAAGUUGCGCAAUGGCGUGACGUGGGAUGACGGUGGCUCAAUGGUCACGUAAAUUUGAUAUCCAGCACGUUGCUGUUAGUUCUCGACCACAUGGAGUAAAUCAUCCAAAACGUACUUAAACAAAGAAAGUUAGCCAAAUAUUGUCGAUAGAAAAGCAGAAUCAGGAAAUGUAUUGUUAGGGAAAACGAGUCUACCAGUAAUGCAGAACAUCGCGUGACUCUUUCCUUCCACCGAAAUAAUACAAACACCUUUAAGCUGUAUUGAUACUUUCUUGUUCGCUUGAACGCAUAAGCAAACAACGGUAUGUACUUGUAAGAUUUCGUUGGAAAUGUUUAUGUGGACAUUCAAUGUAUUAGAUAUUGAAGUUUUAGUAUAAUUUCAGUUUAUAAGACCUUAACAAUCCCUAAAGUUUGAACUCAAACGAAGCUGCUGUUCUAUCGGUGCUACUGACUAAUCUGAAACAUUAAAAUCCCGCGCAUUCGAUAUACAAAAUCGAAUCGCUUUUGUUCUUCUAAGAGCAAGAUAAAAAGAAGCAAAACCGAUAAAAUUUUACACUAUGCUUUGUUUCUUGUCUUGAAACUAUAUAAUGUUCUAUAUUUCUUAUAGCACGAUGACCUUUUUGUCAUGUAUCUCGUUAUCUUGUAACUUAGACUUAUGAAGUGAUGAUGAUGAUAGAUUAAUAUAUAAAACAUUUAUAAGAAGAGUUGAUAGUAAUACUAAAAACAAACAGAAUUCUUAUAUUUUUGAUUUUGAAUUAUUCCUCUUAUCCUAAAGGCACUUUAUAUAUAUAUGCAUAUAUAUCGAAAUUAAGCAAUGUUGUGGCGCAACUGGUGGUAGUACAUAUUUCAUUUGUGGAAUUAAAUUUUUGUCAUAGAAAACAA